UAUAUAUAAGUGUUAGAUAGCACAAGAAGUUUUGAUCUUCUAAGAAUUGGUUAAAUUCCAUUAUAUAUAA
rnacentral:tRNA from 1 species